GCAAGUCGAACGGUAACAGGUCUUCGGAUGCUGACGAGUGGCGAACGGAUGAGUAAUACAUCGGACCGUGCCCGAUCGUUGGGGAUAACGCAGCGAAAGCUGUGCUAAUACCGCAUACGAUCUACGGAUGAAAGCGGGGGAUCGCAAGACCUCGCGCGGACGGAGCGGCCGAGGGCAUAUUAGGUAGUUGGUGGGGUAAAGGCUCACCAAGCCUACGAUCUGUAGCUGGUCUGAGAGGACGACC
rnacentral:rRNA from 1 species